AGAGUUUGAUCAUGGCUCAGGAUGAACGCUAGCGGCAGGCUUAAUACAUGCAAGUCGUGGGGCAGCACAGUGUAGCAAUACAUGGGUGGCGACCGGCAAACGGGUGCGGAACACGUACGCAACCUUCCUUUAACUGGAGAAUAGCCCGGGGAAACCCGGAUUAAUACUCCGUAACAUUGUGAAGUGGCAUCACUUUAUAAUUAUAGCUCCGGCGGUUGAAGAUGGGCGUGCGUCUGAUUAGGUAGUUGGCGGGGUAACGGCCCACCAAGCCUACGAUCAGUAACUGGUGUGAGAGCACGACCAGUCACACGGGCACUGAGACACGGGCCCGACUCCUACGGGAGGCAGCAGUAAGGAAUAUUGGUCAAUGGACGCAAGUCUGAACCAGCCAUGCCGCGUGGAGGAUGAAGGUCCUCUGGAUUGUAAACUUCUUUUAUUUGGGAAGAAACCCCCGAUUUCUAUUGGGGUUGACGGUACCAGAUGAAUAAGCACCGGCUAACUCCGUGCCAGCAGCCGCGGUAAUACGGAGGGUGCAAGCGUUAUCCGGAUUCACUGGGUUUAAAGGGUGCGUAGGCGGGUUGGUAAGUCCGUGGUGAAAUCUCCAAGCUUAACUUGGAAACUGCCGUGGAUACUAUCAAUCUUGAAUAUAGUGGAGGUGAGCGGAAUAUGUCAUGUAGCGGUGAAAUGCUUAGAUAUGACAUAGAACACCCAUUGCGAAGGCAGCUCGCUACACUAUUAUUGACGCUGAGGCACGAAAGCGUGGGGAUCAAACAGGAUUAGAUACCCUAGUAGUCC
rnacentral:rRNA from 1 species